UAUGUUGAAUAGUGAUUGCCUUUAAGUGU
rnacentral:piRNA from 1 species